rnacentral:rRNA from 1 species
AAGAAUGACGAUCAGGUGAGAAAGCGUGAGGAGCAAACAGGAUUAGAUACCCUGGUAGUCCACGCCGUAAACGAUGUCGACUUGGAGGUUGCGCCCUUGAGGCGUGGCUUCCGGAGCUAACGCGUUAAGUCGACCGCCUGGGGAGUACGGCCGCAAGGUUAAAACUCAAAUGAAUUGACGGGGGCCCGCACAAGCGGUGGAGCAUGUGGUUUAAUUCGAUGCAACGCGAAGAACCUUACCUGGUCUUGACAUCCACGGAAGUUUUCAGAGAUGAGAAUGUGCCUUCGGGAACCGUGAGACAGGUGCUGCAUGGCUGUCGUCAGCUCGUGUUGUGAAAUGUUGGGUUAAGUCCCGCAACGAGCGCAACCCUUAUCCUUUGUUGCCAGCGGUCCGGCCGGGAACUCAAAGGAGACUGCCAGUGAUAAACUGGAGGAAGGUGGGGAUGACGUCAAGUCAUCAUGGCCCUUACGACCAGGGCUACACACGUGCUACAAUGGCGCAUACAAAGAGAAGCGACCUCGCGAGAGCAAGCGGACCUCAUAAAGUGCGUCGUAGUCCGGAUUGGAGUCUGCAACUCGACUCCAUGG